ensembl:snRNA U6 U6 spliceosomal RNA
GUGCUCACUUUGGCAGCACAUAUAGCAAACCUGGGAUGAUAGAGAUUAGCAUGGUCCCUGUACAAGGAUGCCACGUAGAGAAGAUCCCCAUGUGAUU